UACGGAGGGUGCAAGCGUUGUCCGGAUUUAUUGGGUUUAAAGGGUGCGUAGGCGGCCUAUUAAGUCAGUGGUGAAAGCCAACAGCUCAACUGUUGAACUGCCAUUGAUACUGAUAGGCUUGAGUACAGACGAGGUAGGCGGAAUUGAAGAUGUAGCGGUGAAAUGCAUAGAUAUCUUCAAGAACACCGAUUGCGUAGGCAGCUUACUAGGCUGUAACUGACGCUGAGGCACGAAAGCGUGGGGAGCGAACAGG
rnacentral:rRNA from 1 species